ACUUCCUCAUAUAUUACUCUUUCCCAGUGUACUAAAAUAUGCUUCCCAUUUUAGUCUUGCCUUAUAUUGUUGAUAUGUAACCCAAAUAGGUUAAACCGAAUGUUGUAUCGAAACAUGUAGUAUUUACUUGCAAAAGAGCAACUGAGAGCCUGGUGGGUCGGGAUGAAGGAAGAAUACCCCUGAGAGCCCAAACUCGAGUUCGAAAAUAUAUGCAGAAUAUAUGUUUGCCUCUGCUAUAUACAUAUGUAAUUUUCCAGUCUGUGUUUUCUGCUCCUCUUUGGCGCAAUGUGGAAGAUGUUGGUUUUAAAGGCUAGCAGGGAAGCCAGUGAUGGAGUAAUCAGUGGUUUAUGAGGUCAUGGAGCCCAAGACCGGAUGCAGCAGAAGAAGCAGCGUCGUUGCCGUGCACUAAGAAGGUCAACAGAGUCUGUGAGGCGGAAGAUCCAUAGCAUACAGAUUCGAGCAGUUGUUUAUGCUCAUAGGACUACUAGAGAAGAUUUACAUGUAGCCUGAGAAGAAGACCGAUGAAGAUCUUGAUUGUAUCAGGCAUUCAGGCUAUGAUUUGGAGAGGUGGCUCUUUAUUUUAUUUGCCUGUGCCACUGGAUGUGUACAUGUACUUUACUCUGAAUGUAUGCAUCAUCUAAUUUUGACUCAAUCUAGGCAGGAAGAAGGUGUAUCCAACCAAAGGGAACAUCAUAUUUUGUUAGUUGCCAAUGUACGAUACCUAAGCCUGAACACUAACCUAAGCGGAUGCGUUGGAUAUGCCAUUCCUCAAUGUGUACCUGGAUUCUCUUUGGGCAUCUAAUUUUUGGGCAGGUGUUGUUCUAGCAGCCCGCUUCGCUUUGGUCUUCAGAUUAAGCAAUUCUCUGCAUUCAAGGGAAAGGUCAAUAGCUGCUCUCCAAAGCCAACGCCGGUCUGUAUUCAUCUGCUGAAUCAGGUUGGCCACGACGAGGAGACGGACACGACCGCGUCGUCCCAUCGACCUCCGGGGCCUUUGAUAUCUCAGGGUGUGUGUCAUGUUAUGUUGGGUUUCCUGUGAUUUCGGUGCGGGUAGCUACAUAGCGUCCGUGAGCCAUGCGUGUGACAUGCAUGCUAGGUAAUCUUGACUCCGGUGCGACGGUGCUGGAACCGCCUCCGCUGGUUACGACCGCCGUGGCUAUGCUUGAAGGCAGAAUCACCACGAUGACUGUAGUUGCCGCACUCAGAUCAGAACGGCAGCCACGGUAUAUGAUCAAGCCUUUACUGUCGUCCUCUGAAUUUGGGAUCACGUGCAUCUGCAAGAGAAAGAGCAUGAGAGCCUAAGAGGGUAGUACCACGUUACGAACAAGUUGAUUUUUAUCCAUGGAAUUGAUCUGAUGCGAAGCUGAUGCCACAUAAAAGGACCAAGGAAUGAACACGAAGCAAAUUAUAACUCUCAGGUUCAUGGUUUAGGAGCAGGAAAGAACACUUCCAAUUGUGUAGAUGGGUCAUCAGUAGCAUUUCUCUAAUUAUUCUUAUAGAGACUGAUUUGGAUUGUUGAAGGAAAGGAUCUCAAUUCUCAAUAGCAAACUGCACUGGGACAUCUUGGACCUAUUCUCCACAUUUCUGAGCUAGAUAUGUUGGUGAGCGGGCAGGCGGUGCUAGACAUGGCAGGGCAAGAGAGCGCGAGGGAGAAUGUCGAAGGAGGCAACAUAAAUGAGAGUUCACCGUUAUGCUCAUGUGGUCAGAACCUAGAGCAUGGAUACAAGACCUCCAUCGUCGUCUAUGGACAUCAGAGCAGAGGAGAAGUGAUGAUGGACAUCAGACCAGUGAAGACAGUGAGCAUGGGCUCCUAGAAGAUACUUAUCAUAUCAUAUUCUCAGUAUAUAGUCAAAAACUGUAUGCCACAUAUACGUUGUGAAUUACUAUGAUAUUUGAUCAAUGAAUUUAUUUCUAAAAAAAUAUGUGGCAA